rnacentral:rRNA from 1 species
UACGUAGGGUGCGAGCGUUAAUCGGAAUUACUGGGCGUAAAGUGUGCGCGGGCGGCUCUGCAAGUCGAGUGUGAAAUCCCCGAGCUUAACUUGGGAAUUGCGCUCGAAACUAUGGAGCUGGAGUGUGGCAGAGGAAGGUGGAAUUCCACGUGUAGCGGUGAAAUGCGUAGAGAUGUGGAGGAACACCGAUGGCGAAGGCAGCCUUCUGGGCCAACACUGACGCUCAUGCACGAAAGCGUGGGGAGCAAACAGG